rnacentral:rRNA from 1 species
UACGAAGGGUGCAAGCGUUGUUCGGAAUUACUGGGCGUAAAGCGUGCGUAGACGGUUAUUUAAGUCAGGUGUGAAAGCCCCGGGCUCAACCUGGGAAUUGCAUUUGAGACUGAAUAGCUAGGGUGCGGAAGAGGGAAGCGGAAUUUCCGGUGUAGCGGUGAAAUGCGUAGAUAUCGGAAGGAACACCAGUGGCGAAAGCGGCUUCCUGGUCCAGCACCGACGUUCAGGCACGAAAGCGUGGGGAGCAAACAGG